rnacentral:misc_RNA from 1 species
UCAAACUUGGUCAUUUAGAGGAAGUAAAAGUCGUAACAAGGUUUCCGUAGGUGAACCUGCGGAAGGAUCAUUAUCGAGUUAGGGUCUUUGGCCCGACCUCCAACCCUUUGACUAAAUUACCUGUUGCUUUGGCGUGCCCGUCGCAAGACCGCCGGCGGUGGAGACACCUCUGGCCAGUGCCCGCUAACAGCCCCUUUAAACUCUUGUUAAACGUGGAAUCUGAGUAUAAGAUCUAAUUACACAAAACUUUCAACAACGGAUCUCUUGGUUCUGGCAUCGAUGAAGAACGCAGC